AUUGAACGCUGGCGGCGUGUUUAAGACAUGCAAGUCGCACGGGAUAAGACAUGUAGUAAUACUUGUUUUAUUUAGUGGCGCACGGGUGAGUAACACGUGAAUUACAUGCCCUAUAGUGGGGAAUAGCCAGGGAAACUUGGAUUAAUACCCCAUGGUACCGAAAGAUUAAAGGUGGCCGCAAGGCUGUCGCUAUAGGAUUGGUUCGCGCCCUAUCAGCUUGUUGGUGAGGUAACGGCUCACCAAGGCAAUGACGCGUACCUGGUCUGAGAGGACGAUCAGGCACACUGGAAAUAAGACACGGUCCAGACACCUACGGGUGGCAGCAGUCGAGAAUUAUUCACAAUGGGGGCAACCCUGAUGGUGCAACGCCGCGUGGAGGAUGACGGUCUUCGGAUUGUAAACUCCUGUCAUCUGGGAGAAAGACCUGACGGUAAAUAGCCGGCAGGGUUGAUAGUACCAGAAGAGGAAGGGACGGCUAACUUCGUGCCAGCCGCCGCGGUAA
rnacentral:rRNA from 1 species